rnacentral:rRNA from 1 species
UACGUAGGCAGCAAGCGUUGUCCGGAAUUAUUGGGCGUAAAGAGCUCGUAGGCGGCCUGUCGCGUCCGCUGUGAAAUCCCGGGGCUUAACCCCGGGCCUGCAGUGGAUACGGGCAGGCUGGAGGCAGGCAGGGGAGAACGGAAUUCCCGGUGUAGCGGUGAAAUGCGCAGAUAUCGGGAGGAGCACCGGUGGCGAAGGCGGUUCUCUGGGCCUGUACUGACGCUGAGGAGCGAAAGCGUGGGGAGCGAACAGG